GGGUUAAGUCCCGCAACGAGCGCAACCCUUAUCCUUUGUUGCCAGCGGUUCGGCCGGGAACUCAAAGGAGACUGCCAGUGAUAAACUGGAGGAAGGUGGGGAUGACGUCAAGUCAUCAUGGCCCUUACGACCAGGGCUACACACGUGCUACAAUGGCAUAUACAAAGAGAAGCGACCUCGCGAGAGCAAGCGGACCUCAUAAAGUAUGUCGUAGUCCGGAUUGGAGUCUGCAACUCGACUCCAUGAAGUCGGAAUCGCUAGUAAUCGUAGAUCAGAAUGCUACGGUGAAUACGUUCCCGGGCCUUGUACACACCGCCCGUCACACCAUGGGAGUGGGUUGCAAAAGAAGUAGGUAGCUUAACCUUCGGGAGGGCGCUUACCACUUUGUGAUUCAUGACUGGGGUGAAGUCGUAACAAGGUAACCGUAGGGGAACCUGCGGUUGGAUCACCUCCUUACCUUAAAGAA
rnacentral:rRNA from 1 species